UUGCAAUGCUGCGUGGAAGCCGAAGCCACACCUCCCACAUGGCCCCUCCGGCCAGCCGGGCACCUCAGAUGAGAACUGCACCCAGGCCAGCACCAGCAGCUCAGCCACCAGCAGCAGCCCCAACAUAUGCAGUUGGCUCACCUACUGCUGCACCCUGGCAGCCUGGUCUGAUGGCCCAAAUGGCUGCUACUGCAGCUGGUGUGGCUGUGGGCUCUGUAGUUGGGCACACUCUGGGUUAUGCCACCACUGGGGGCUUCAGUGGAGGAUGUAAUGCUGAGCCCUCAAACCCUGACAUCACUUACCAGGAGCCUCUUGGAAGCCAGCCAGCACAGCAGCAGCAGGUUGGCCCUUGCUUCUGUGAGAUGAAAUGGCUUUUGGAAUGUGCCCAGAACCAGACUGAUAAAAAGCUAUGUGAGGGAUUCAAUGAGGUGCUGAAACAAUGCAAACUUGCAAAUAGAUUAUCCUAAUCAAGAAAUACAAAUUGAAGAAAAGGAAAAUCACCUUUCAAGACCAAGUUAAUUUAGCAUAAAAAUGUAAUUGAUAAUGAAAGUAUAAAGGGUAAAACCAUCAGUUA